rnacentral:lncRNA from 1 species
UAGAUAAAAUGCCAAAACAAUGUGGGUACUAAUGUGCAUAUACCUCAGGUAUUUACAAAAUUUACUUACAUAAAAUUACCUUAGAAUUUCAUAUUGAUGAACUACUGCUAUAUUUUAAAGUAAAAAUGCAUGUAAUUGAAAAAAAGAAUUAAGAGUUGGAGAUUGAGUAACCAAGUUAGAUUUUAGCCAACCUAGUCAAUCAGUACAAUAGAAAAUGACACAUUAAAAUAUACUUUAAGAACAUAUGAAGCAGGAUACUAAAUAAAUC